rnacentral:rRNA from 1 species
GAUGAACGCUGGCGGCGUGCCUAAUACAUGCAAGUCGAGCGAACGGACGAGGAGCUUGCUUUUCUGAUGUUAGCGGCGGACGGGUGAGUAACACGUGGAUAACCUACCUAUAAGACUGGGAUAACUUCGGGAAACCGGAGCUAAUACCGGAUAAUAUUUUGAACCGCAUGGUUCAAAAGUGAAAGACGGUCUUGCUGUCACUUAUAGCUGGAUCCGCGCUGCAUUAGCUAGUUGGUAAGGUAACGGCUUACCAAGGCAACGAUGCAUAGCCGACCGGAGAGGGUGAUCGGCCACACUGGAACUGAGACACGGUCCAGACUCCUACGGGAGGCAGCAGUAGGGAAUCUUCCGCAAUGGGCGAAAGCCUGACGGAGCAACGCCGCGUGAGUGAUGAAGGUCUUCGGAUCGUAAAACUCUGUUAUUAGGGAAGAACAUAUGUGUAAGUAACUGUGCACAUCUUGACGGUACCUAAUCAGAAAGCCACGGCUAACUACGUG